rfam:TPA: Bos taurus chromosome 10, whole genome shotgun sequence.
UCCUUGGUGGCUCAGAGGUUAGAGCGUCUGCUUGGAAUGCGGGAGACCUGGGUUCGAUCCCUGGGUCAGGAA